UACGUAGGGUGCGAGCGUUGUCCGGAAUUAUUGGGCGUAAAGAGCUCGUAGGCGGUUCGUCGCGUCGGCUGUGAAAUCCCGAGGCUCAACCUCGGGUCUGCAGUCGAUACGGGCGGACUGGAGUACUGCAGGGGAGACUGGAAUUCCUGGUGUAGCAGUGAAAUGCGCAGAUAUCAGGAGGAACACCGGUGGCGAAGGCGGGUCUCUGGGCAGUUACUGACGCUGAGGAGCGAAAGCGUGGGGAGCGAACAGG
rnacentral:rRNA from 1 species